CGUCAGAAGUAAGACCCCUGAGAGACGAUCAGGUAGAUAGGCUAGAAGUGGAAGUGUAGUGAUGCAUGGAGCGGACUAGUACUAAUAGGUCGAGGACUUAACCAAG
rnacentral:rRNA from 1 species